AUUGAACGCUGGCGGCAUGCCUUACACAUGCAAGUCGAACGGUAACAGGUCUUCGGAUGCUGACGAGUGGCGAACGGGUGAGUAAUACAUCGGAACGUGCCCGAUCGUGGGGGAUAACGAAGCGAAAGCUUUGCUAAUACCGCAUAAGAUCUACGGAUGAAAGCAGGGGACCGCAAGGCCUUGCGCGAACGGAGCGGCCGAUGGCAGAUUAGGUAGUUGGUGGGAUAAAAGCUUACCAAGCCGACGAUCUGUAGCUGGUCUGAGAGGACGACCAGCCACACUGGGACUGAGACACGGCCCAGACUCCUACGGGAGGCAGCAGUGGGGAAUUUUGGACAAUGGGCGAAAGCCUGAUCCAGCCAGGCCGCGUGCAGGAUGAAGGCCUUCGGGUUGUAAACUGCUUUUGUACGGAACGAAAAGACUCUGGUUAAUACCUGGGGUCCAUGACGGUACCGGAAGAAUAAGCACCGGCUAACUACGUG
rnacentral:rRNA from 1 species